rnacentral:tRNA from 1 species
GGGCUAUUAGCUCAGGUGGUUAGAGCGCACCCCUGAUAAGGGUGAGGUCCCUGGUUCGAGUCCAGGAUGGCCCACCUGAAGACAGUGAACAGUCAACAGCGAACAGUGAACAGUAAAAAAC